UGAUAUUCCUGUACCACCAUCAUUCGUUUUCAGCGAUGGAGGUCGGCAGUUGGAUAGGCGUAGCGUGCUGUUGCAGUGCACGUCCAGGCAGGUAUAUGGAGGGUUGGGCAAAUCCGGCGCUCGUAGGAGUGAUCUGUAGUGGGGAGAUGACUUCUUCGCUCGAUGCGUUGAUGUCACACUGCCUCGAAAA
rnacentral:rRNA from 1 species